GAUGAACGCUAGCGGCAGGCUUAAUACAUGCAAGUCGAGGGGCUGCACGGUUAGCAAUAACUGGUGGCGACCGGCGCACGGGUGCGUAACACGUAUACAAUCUACCUUAAACAGGGGAUAGCCUUUCGAAAGAGAGAUUAAUACCCCGUAAUAAAUUGAACGGCAUCGUUUGAUUUUGAAAGCUCCGGCGGUUUGAGAUGAGUAUGCGUCUGAUUAGCUAGUUGGUGAGGUAACGGCUCACCAAGGCGACGAUCAGUAGGGGAUCUGAGAGGACUAACCCCCACACUGGUACUGAGACACGGACCAGACUCCUACGGGAGGCAGCAGUAAGGAAUAUUGGUCAAUGGAGGCAACUCUGAACCAGCCAUGCCGCGUGCAGGAUGACGGCCCUAUGGGUUGUAAACUGCUUUUAUACAAGAGAAAACCCUGGUACGUGUACCAGGUUGAUAGUAUUGUAAGAUAAGCAUCGGCUAACUUCGUGCCAGCAGCCGCGGUAAU
rnacentral:rRNA from 1 species